UUUCAUUGGGGUAGUUUCUUUUGCUGUGUCUUCAAAUUUACUUUUUUUAAAAUGAUUGUCUACUUUGCUGUUAAUCCCAUCCUGUAUUUUUUAAAUCUAAACCAUCGUGAUUUUUAUCUCUAGAAGUUCAAUUUGGGUCUGUUCAUAUCUUCCAUGCCUCUACUUCACAUGUUCUGUCUUUCCUCUAGCUUCUUGAGCACAUGGAAUACAGUUAUACUAACAGUUUUUAUGUUGUCGUCUACUAAUUCUGUUAUCUGUGUCAGUUCUGGAUCAGCUUCAACUGAUUGAUUUUUUCCCCCUCAUUAUGUUUGUGUUUUCCUGCUUCUUUGCAUGACUGGUAAUUUUUGAUUGAAUGCCAAACAUUACGGCUUUUACCUUGGUUGCUGGAUAUUAUUGUAUUCCUAUAAAGAUUCUUGAGCUUUUUUCAGGAACACAGUUAAGUAUUUGAAAUAAUUUUGAUCCUUCUGAGCCUUGCUUUUAAGCUUUAUUAGGUGGGACCACAGCAGCAUUGGAUCUAAGGUUAAUUUUCACACUACUGGACUCAUCCAGAAGAUCCAGGAUAACCUGGCUAUUUUAAGGGUCUGUGAUUUCUUGUCACAGCAUCUUGAUCAGGAUUCUCCAAGAAGCUCUUGUUCAUGAAGGUGGCUGACCCGGCAUGGAGGCCUGGCCAAGGUCUUCCCCCUGAAAGGGUUGGAGGUGCGGGGGCAAAAGGAUCCAAGAAAUAAAAGUGUUACAUCCUCAGAGAUUGGUUGUUCAGCUCAUCCAGUUCGUGAGGCUAAAGUCCCCAGGCCCCAAACUGCCUCUAUUUAUGAAUUUCUGCCCUGUUCUAAAGACAGCAGGGGAAAACACGGUUUUGUAGAAAAAAGCUGACAAAACCACUUCUGCACAUCUGGAAGCUAGGGUGGCUUAGGGAGGUGCGGAAGACCACAGGUGGCGUUUUCUUCCCUGAGCCAUGGGCCCUGGGGUUCAGGUGGCAUCUAGC
rnacentral:lncRNA from 1 species